GGGGGCGGCCGGCCGUGGGGGCGCAUUUUCCACUCGGGGAAGAGGGAGGAAAGGGCGAGGGCGGGGGCUUCCUUGGGAAGCCCGGGAUGAGUCACCGAGGGCCCGGAGCGGAGCGGAAGGCGGAGGGGAUGCGCGUCCGUCCUGGUCCUGGUCCGCGUCCUCGUCCUCGUCCUCGUGGCUGCGGGUGCCGUGGAGAGGGCAGCGAGGCCGCGGGAAGCACCGGCGGGGUCCCCCAGGGGGGCUGUCAAGCCGGGGAGGGGUCGGGUUGGGGGCCCUGAUGGAAGCAGGACAAGAUGACCGAGCAAGUUAGCCCCGAGUAGUGGUGCAGGCUUGUGGUCCCAGCACUCAGGAGGCUGAGGCAGGAGGGUCGCUGUGAGUUUGAGGCCAGCCUGGGGUCCAUAGUGAGACCCUGUUUUAACACACACACACGCACACGCACACACACACGCACACGCACACCGCAAAACGAAAUCGACCAAUUGAGUGUGAGGGACUCUGAUUAGACAGCAAUGGGGACUUGGACUUGAGGGUGCCAGGUUCAAGCUCCAGGUGCACUUGGUUUCAGGGGCAGCAUCGAGGGACACAGGCUGGACACGCCCGCCAGGCUGGGUGGCGUGGGCUCCCGCUCAUGAAGUAAUGGGGUGGGCGAGGCCGCCUAGGAUCCCGUCCUUCGAGAGGGGCCCUGACCUGGACAGCGUGAGCCACAGCAGGGCUCGGGGCCCCCAGGUCUGGGAGGGGAUCGAGAGGGACCAGCUUGCGGCUCCUGACUUCAGACAGGGCUGAGCCACCCUCGGGCUCAGAGGGGCCGUAGAGGCCAGGGAGGGGGACGCAGGCAGGGAGGCCCGGGCCCUUGCCCAGUGCGCUGUAUCCUGGGUGUGAAAUGUUUUCAUGGAGCACAGAGGAUGAGCCGGGACCCUUGUGAGGACACCGUGGGAGUCCCCUGAGGACACAGAGAGUCUGGAAGAGGGAGCUUGGCAGCUGCUCUGAGAUCUGAUCACUGGGGCAGAACAGCUGUAGACAGGCUCACAGGUGUGGGGGAGCCAGGUGUGGUGGUACACCCCUGAGAUCCCAGCACUCGGGAGGCUGAGGCAGGAGGAUCCUGGGAGUUCGAGGUCAGCCUGGCUACCUGACCAGACAAGAGGCUGAGAAUCCAUCCCCAGCCAUCUGCUUUACCCGAAGAUCUCACUGAGGAGCAGCUCUGCUCAGACUGCAUCUUGGCUGCAUCCUGGGCAGUGACAGGGCAACCGUGCCUGUCCUGGCAGCCCAGGCCUCCCCACGACACCAUGGCCCAGGACCUCAGCAAGAAGGAGCUGCUGCGGUUGGAGGUGGAGCAGCUGAGGAAGGAGGUGAAGAACCCGAGGGCUCCGAUCUUAUGCUGAUGAGGAUCUGAUGCUGAUGAAGACUGUAAGGGGAGCAGUCUUACAAUAGCAGGUGGGAUGAAUUAAGCUGAUCAGGAACUUGUCCCUGGGUGAAACCUUUCUCUUAUACUCAGUUCUCAAGGAACCAGGAAGUCUUCAGCUGAUGUAAUCCUGCCCUUGAGCAUCACAGCAUCACCGGACCACUGAGGCCUCAGCUGUGACCCAGAGGCAGAAACAGAGUUGUUUCCACAGGCCCUAGGUGGCUCUCGGGCAAGGCAAUAUUGGGCCUUAGUGAGAGUCAUACUUUAAUUACGACAUGAAUUUUCCCCUAAAUUAUGGAGAAUGGCUGCUGACAGAUCACUCUGAGUCCGAGGCCAGCCUGGGCUCCGCGCCCGCAGGGAGACCCCAUCUCAAACCAACAACAAGAAGCAGGGUCAGGUGUGAGGGAGCAUGUGGUCAGGAGCUUGCCUGCAAUGCCUGUGCCCUCCGCGCCUCUCCGCUGGGCCUCUGCCAGGACUGCUGGAGCCCAGGCCUGGGAAAGAGGCCAGGCCAUGACCCACCCUGUGCCCCCGAAGGUCUCCAGGACGGGGAAGGAGAUCAAGGACUACGUGGAGGCCCAGGCGGGCAGAGACCCCCUGCUCAGAGGUGUCCCGGAGGACAGGAACCCCUUCAAGGAGAAGGGCGGCUGUCUGAGGAGCUGACAGGCCAGCCCUGCAACUGGGUGCCUGCUCCGGGCCAAUGUCCUGGGCCCCCUGCCGUCAGUCUCCUUCACCUUCCUAGGCACAGCAUGAGUAAAGAGGCCCCCUCCUGUACCACCUCCUGUGUACCCACCAGCACCCAGCUUGGAGACCCCGAGGAGAGUCUUGUCUGCUGAGCACUAGCACAGGGUGGCGGGGUGCAGAGCCCACAUGCCGGGAAUGGCAGUGCACACCUGUAAUGCCAGCUCUCUGGGAGGCUGAGGCAGGAGGGUCUCAAGCUCAAGUCCUACCUGGGCA